GGUAAGUACAAAGGUAAUGUAAAACUGAAUAUUACAAGUACAGUGAAAUAUUAGCACAUGCAAGCACUGCUACCUUUCUCAGGGGGGUGUGCAGACCUGUUGUCUCAUAGAUUUGUUCAUCAUGUAUGCUGAAUGCGGUUCUUGGAAGAGAUCUGAAAAUAACGUACUCAAUAUGACAUCAGAUUAAAAAAAAAAAAAACAGCUGGACCAUCUGGUCUUUCCAUUAAU